UCCUUCUUUUUCCAGCGUUGUCCGGAAUUAUUGGGCGUAAAGCGCGCGCAGGCGGUUCCUUAAGUCUGAUGUGAAAGCCCACGGCUCAACCGUGGAGGGUCAUUGGAAACUGGGGGACUUGAGUGCAGAAGAGGAGAGCGGAAUUCCACGUGUAGCGGUGAAAUGCGUAGAGAUGUGGAGGAACACCAGUGGCGAAGGCGGCUCUCUGGUCUGUAACGGCCGCUGAGGCGCGAAAGCGUGGGGAGCAAACAGG
rnacentral:rRNA from 1 species